rnacentral:rRNA from 1 species
AUUGAACGCUGGCGGCAGGCCUAACACAUGCAAGUCGAACGAGUGGCGGACGGGUGAGUAAUGUCUGGGAAACUGCCUGCUGGAGGGGGAUAACUACUGGAAACGGUAGCUAAUACCGCAUACCAUCGGAUGUGCCCAGAUGGGAUUAGCUGGUAGGUGGGGUAACGGCUCACCUAGGCGACUAUCCCUAGCUGGUCUGAGAGGAUGACCAGCCACACUGGAACUGUGAAACGGUCCAGCCUCCUAGGGGAGGCAGCAGUGGGGAAUAUUGUACAAUGGGCGCAAGCCGGAUGCAGCCAUGCGGCGUGUAUGAAGAAGGACUUCGGGUUGUAAAGUACUGUCAGCGGGGAGGCGUUACACGCAGAAGAAGCACCGGCUAACUCCGUGCCAGCAGCCGCGGUAAUAC